UGGGGAAUAUUGCACAAUGGGGGAAAGCCCUGAUGCAGCGACGCCGCGUGAGCGAAGAAGUAUCUCGGUAUGUAAAGCUCUAUCAGCAGGGAAGAAAAUGACGGUACCUGACUAAGAAGCCCCGGCUAACUACGUGCCAGCAGCCGCGGUAAUACGUAGGGGGCAAGCGUUAUCCGGAUUUACUGGGUGUAAAGGGAGCGUAGACGGCAAUGCAAGUCUGAAGUGAAAGGACGGGGCUUAACCCUGUGACUGCUUUGGAAACUGUGUAGCUUGAGUGCCGGAGGGGUAAGCGGAAUUCCUAGUGUAGCGGUGAAAUGCGUAGAUAUUAGGAGGAACACCAGUGGCGAAGGCGGCUUACUGGACGGUAACUGACGUUGAGGCUCGAAAGCGUGGGGAGCAAACAGGAUUAGAUACC
rnacentral:rRNA from 1 species